UACGGGGGGAGCAAGCGUUGUUCGGAUUUACUGGGCGUAAAGGGCGCGUAGGCGGCGCAACAAGUCACUUGUGAAAUCUCCGGGCUUAACUCGGAGCGGCCAAGUGAUACUGUCGUGCUAGAGUGCGGAAGGGGCUACUGGAAUUCUCGGUGUAGCGGUGAAAUUCGUAGAUAUUCGCAAGAACACCAGUGGCGAAGGCGGCUCACUGGCCCGGUACUGACGCUGAGGUGCGAAAGCGUGGGGAGCAAACAGG
rnacentral:rRNA from 1 species